UGAUGCUUCAGUGGUAUCAUCGGACUGUUAUGUCAGUUCGGAGCUGAAUCGUUGCAUCGAUUCGAGAUAUCAUGGAUACCCAUUAUGCAUCAUUAUGGCGCACGUUUCCCAAGAACCGUAUCGUUUCCCGUGCCCUUUCAAUUUUUUGAUUGGCGGCUCUUGGGUUUCCCACUUAGGACAUUCAUGUUCCUAUAAAUAGGGGGAACCUAUCAUUCGAUUGUUACACUUUUCGGUUUACCUGAGGAAUUUUGCAAACUUCCACCCUCUUCAAUAUUUCAUACUUUCGAUUUCAUACUUCUGCUUUCGUCUGAAUUUGACGUGACCAUCUUCUCUUUUCCUUCAUCACUCUUGUUUAUUUCAAUCAAGUUAGUCAAAUAGUUGGUACUCCUUCCCAGACCGACAAAUUCGUCGAAGCUCCGGUGCUGGAAAAUGAAGUACCUCCUCUUAGAGAGGGAGUGGAGGUGACGGAAGAUGAGGGAGUUCCGAUAAUGGCUGAGAUACUACCCUACCUGGGGAAAUUAUGGACUGAUUUUAACAGCAUCACCGGAGAAGAACCAGAACCUGUCCCUUCUACCAUGGAUAAAGUGGCGAUUAUGGCGCUCAAGACCAAGUGGGGAAUUCCAAACCAUAUCGAAAUGGCGCCGGCGACGGGAACGGACAUUGUGCACUUGCACCGCCCGGGGUACUGCCCAUUUUACGCGUAUCCUUUUAUUGUCGGAUAUAUGUUUCCUCCCCCCUCUCUAGUGGUGGACUUCUGUCGUUUUUACGAAGUGUGCCCGGUUUAGCUUUCAACGUACGCAUACAAGCUCUUCCUCAUGCUUCUCAAGUAUGUGGAGCUCGCCGGUCGAGGGAUCACUUUGGGGCAUAUUCUUAAUAUUUUUGUCCCUCAAUUUAUUUUAGGCACGAUGAUCCACAUGUGUCAUCAAAGAACCAAGAGUUUGAUGGUGAAGAUGGAUGAUAAGGCUAAUCACCGCUUCUAGGAAAGCUAUUUUUAUGUGCGGAUAAAACACCUUAUGGCGGACUCGGCGGGGUUCCUUGAGACGUGGAACUUCACACCCGAGAGAUUGCCUCCCCUGCCAGUUGACGACAUCCGUGAGUGGGUAAACGCCAUUCUUCCCUAUACAAUGGGGGUUUGCGUGUGGGCGUCCUUCUAUGAGAGAUAUAGGCGUAAGCCUCUCACUGGGAGGGUGCGAAGGACGAGGGCUCCUCUGCUUGCGUUGCGUCAACCAGCGCCUUCUAUUCAUCCUACGCUGAGGGCUACUGCAUGUCCUGUAUCAAGAACUACUCAGCCUGCACCUAUGGCCGAAGCUGCAUGUUCGGAGAUUACUCCCCCCUGCACCCUGUCCAGUCGACGAAUCUUCUCGCGUAAGUAGUAAGGAGGACCCACCGAAGAGACGAAGGGUGGUGUUGAAAGAGGUUUCCCCGGCCGAUACUUCUUUGAGGGGUACCCUUACCCUGGCGUUGAUAGAAAUCAGAGAUGAUGUCAGCCCUGCUGUGGACACAGCACCUGUUGUGAGUGGUCAAUAGGCUGAUGUGGUGGAGAGACGGAGUCCCAGGAUUUCAAUUACUAUCUUGGGCGGCCCUUCGUCUUCCUGGCCGAACCGCACUUCUUCUUUGGCCAAAGAGGGGGGGAAAGGCAUCAUGGUGGACGAUUACGAGUUUGAAUCUGACCUCGAUCCUAACUAUGUUAGGAUGUUCGAGGAGGGCUUUACGCGAACUGUGGUAAGAGCGAGAGGUCCUUCCCGAAUACUCGAAAUCCCGUCGAAUCUCAACCUUCUGCAAGAUACGGUGGAUUUUGUGCCGCAGUUUGGCCUUCUAUGCUCUGCCACAAAAAGCGGGUCUCUUCAGGAAGUUAGCGAUGCCAAACUAUCGCAAGGUGUGGCCGCGUUAGGCUUGAGGGUAAGUUUCUCUUCUUUGUUUGUUUUUUUACUUUGGCUCUUAUCGACUCUCUUCUCCUUGCUAUUUUUAGACUUACAUGCUGGAGAUAGAGAGUGCUUGCAGGGCCGAGACCCGGGCCAAGAUUUUUCUGAUGAUGCUUGAAAAGUAUCGGCGUUAUCGCAAAAAAUGUCGUGAUAUGCAUGAGCGGCUCAGAGCGAGCACUGUCAAUCAAUCUCUCGGGGAGGAGUUGGAGAAAAGGGAUAAGAAGCUGAUGUAGUCCAUUCGCAUGUGUAGUGAGCUCGAGGAGCUACUUCAUGCUAAGGACGAGGAACUUGAGUUGGGAAAGGGGGUCGCUAUAGAGUGCGAGCAUCUUUAGGACGAGGAACUUGAGUGCUGUUGUUGCAAGCCGAACUCGAUCAGAAUGCUGCCAGAGUUGAGGCUUUGAGUGUAGAAUGUAUGGGGGAAGUUAGCCGAGCUGGAGAGAAAAGUAGAUGAGUUGGAUAAUGCCGAGAACCCUCGAGCAUCAGCUUUAUCAAGUGUGACGGCGUUGGAGGACACUAUCCAUAUCCUUCAGUCUAAGCAGGAGUCCGAGAUGGCAAUGACCACACUAAGGGAGGCGAGGCUCGAAGAGCGCAUCAACGAGAUCGAUUGGGAGGAUUCGAUCCUAGGCGACCGGGUCGUGGCACUUGAGGCUGAGAGGGCGUAGUUGUUAGCUCAAGUUGAAUCUGUCUCUGCCGCUGUUCCUCGUCAAUUGCAUGAGCUUUGGGUCCAUGCCGAUGCCCAACGAGAUAUAUACAAGGAUUUUGGGAGACGAGCAAUGUUUCUGAGGCUGCUUAUGAAGAAGCCCGAGUGAAGGCACAAGAGACUCGUGUCAACUACGGCUACGACCCUGCGAUAUCGGAGGUCGGUGAUGAGGCUGAUGUUGAGGAGGAGUUUCUUGCGGACAAUGAUGGGGAGAACGACGGUGAUGAUGCCGAGUGAAAAGUUGUUACUGCUUUAGUAUAUAUUAUUUUUUUUGUUCAUCUUUGUCUUUUUGUCGGGCUCGUUUUGGCCUUUUGUAAGGUGCGGCUAUUGCGCACGUAUAUAUAAAUAAAGAAGUUGUUUCGCCUUUGUAUAUCCUUUGAUUUUCUUUCCCUUCCCCUUGCUUGUUACAUCUUUUUGUUUUGGCGUAGCUUCGGAUUUUGUGUGGCGAGUCCCUAAUUUUUCGAUUUGGGAAUCCGACCUUGACCGGAUCGAGUAGGGUCUCGUUGCGUGAGUCCGAAUGGAGCUUCUUCGGACUUGCACAUUCGGGCGAGAUUUAUUUCUAAUUUGUCUCUUUAGGCGGUAUCAUCCUUGAUUCUAACAAGGUUGAAUUCGGAUCCGUCCUUUCGGUCAAAGCUAUUUUUGACUCGAACAUUCGAGUGGGACUAAGUUCAAACUUGCUGACUUAGGCAGAAUUAAUUUUUUAGUGUGUACUUGACCGGGGUUGAGUUUGGAACCGUCAUCUAGAGCGAGGCCAAUUUCUAACUUUAUUUGAACGAGAUCGAAUUUGGAGUCGCUGUUUUGGGCAAAGUCAAUUUUUGACUUAUACUUGAAUGACGCCAGCCUUUUCCUUUUAUUUGACUGUAGCCGGCGGCCGUAAAAGGUGUUGUUCCAAACGAGGUUGGAUUGUGACCUACUUGUUUUGACAAUGGCCGGUGGCCGUAAAGGUGUUAUUUUGUGGAAGAUCAAAAUAGUAACCUAUUCGAUUCGGUGAUGGCCAUCCGCUGUAAGGGUGUUAUUUUGAACUAAGGUCGAAAUGUUAACCCAUUGUAAUUCGAGCGAGGUCAAAUUCUUCUUUUGGCGGUGGCCGUUGGCCGUACGGGUGUUAUUUCGAGCUAAGGUCGAAAUGUUAACCCGUUGUAAUUCGAGCGAGGUCGAAUUCUCCUUUUGGCGGUGGCCGUUGGCCGUAGGUGUGUUAUUUAGAGCUAAGGUCGAAAUGUUAACUUGUUGUAAUUCGAGCGAGGUCGAAUUCUUCUUUUGGCGGUGGCCAUUGGCCGUAGGGGUGUUAUUUCGAGCUAAGGUCAAAAUAUUAACCCGUUGUAAUUCGAACGAGGUCGAAUUAUUCUUUUGGCGGUGUCCGUUGGCCAUAAAGGUGUUAUUUCGAGCUAAGGUCGAAAUGUUAACCCGUUGUAAUUCGAGCGAGGUCGAAUUCUUCUUUUGGCGGUGGCAAUUGGCCGUAGGGGUGUUAUUUCACACUAAGGUCGAAAUAUUAACUCGUUGUCUCGGCUUUGUUUUUACUAGAGAAUAUUGGGUGUUCCCUGGGUGAGUCCCUAUUUUGCUUAGCUUCUGCGUUUCCUAGGUGAGUCCCAGUUUGCUUUUGUGCGCUUGCAUUGGAGAAUACUAUGCGUUUCCUAGGUGAGUCCCCGUUUGCUUUUGUGCGCUUCCUGGGUGAGUCCCAGUUUAGCUUAACUUCGCAUGUAUUGGAGGAUAUCUUGGUGGAGAGUACAAAAUGUUGCUCUAUUUCAUUUACUAGAAAAUGUUAUACAUGUUCGUUCCAUGCAUAUAUUGGAGAAGUUUCCAUGUAUCUAGUCCUUUCAUCGCCCGGCCUGGGGAAGCAGUCAGCAGGCAGGGUGAUGAAUCAUACUUGAACUUUGAGACGUCCCUUUCGUCACCUCGCCAGAAAUCUCCCCGAGAAGACCCAAUUAGGACAAAACCCGGGUGGGGGAAAAAGGGUACGACUUGAGGGGUGUCCUUUUUACGAAGUUGAAGUAUUUGAGGUGGGCAACAUUUUAAUUGUUUUGUAGUAGCUUUCCUUCCAUUGUUUCUAGUUGGAAUGCUCCUUUGCUUGCCCAUGCGAGUGCUCGCAUUCCUGUUCGAACCAACACAAGAGUGAAGAUAAACCAAAAUGAAAUUUUUCGUUACCUCGACCCAAUGAGUCAGUGAAAGAAGGAGUGACAUUGUAGUGUUACUCGCUUCUCUUGGUGCUCGAAUGGUGGUUUCAGAUUUAGCAGCCGUGUUCGGCUCCAUCUUUAACAGCGUCUAGGCUUUGCAUGGGUUGGAUCCACCUCACUCGCUGAAGUGGUGAAAUCGAGUCCUGGUCCGAUCUCGUCCGAUUUGUACCAACAACAAGGGAAACAUGUCAUACUUCGUUCAUAGACCAUCCAAUGUGUGGGAGAAUGUAAAAAUAGGGCAGGAUGUGCCAAUUUUUUCAAAAGACCGCGCAAUAAGCUGUCAUCCCCUCCCAAGGGGUGGGAAUGCGGGUCAAUAUAUAAGGUAAAUACGUCA